CGGCUAAUUUCCGUGCCAGCAGCCGCGGUAAUACGGAAGGUCCGGGCGUUAUCCGGGAUUUAUUGGGUUUAAAGGGAGCGCAGGCUGAUGAUUAAGCGUGACGUGAAAUGUAGCCGCUCAACGGCUGAACUGCGUCGCGAACUGGUUAUCUUGAGUGAGUUCGAUGUUGGCGGAAUUCGUGGUGUAGCGGUGAAAUGCUUAGAUAUCACGAAGAACUCCGAUUGCGAAGGCAGCCAACAAGGCCUUUACUGACGCUAAAGCUCGAAGGUGCGGGUAUCGAACAGGAUUAGAUACCCUGGUAGUCCGCACGGUAAACGAUGGAUGCCCGCUGUUUGCGAUAUACUGUGAGCGGCCAAGAGAAAUCGUUAAGCAUCCCACCUGGGGAGUACGCCGGCAACGGUGAAACUCAAAGGAAUUGACGGGGGCCCGCACAAGCGGAGGAACAUGUGGUUUAAUUCGAUGAUACGCGAGGAACCUUACCCGGGCUUGAACUGCAGGAGAACGAUACAGAGAUGUUGAGGCCCUUCGGGGCUCCUGUGGAGGUGCUGCAUGGUUGUCGUCAGCUCGUGCCGUGAGGUGUCGGCUUAAGUGCCAUAACGAGCGCAACCCUUUUCAUUAGUUGCCAUCAGGUAAUGCUGGGCACUCUGGUGAUACUGCCACCGUAAGGUGUGAGGAAGGUGGGGAUGACGUCAAAUCAGCACGGCCCUUACGUCCGGGGCUACACACGUGUUACAAUGGGGGGUACAGAAGGCGGGAUCAAUGCAAGUUGGUUCAAAUCUUAAAAGCCCUCCUCAGUUCGGAUUGGGGUCUGCAACCCGACCCCAUGAAGCUGGAUUCGCUAGUAAUCGCGCAUCAGCCAUGGCGCGGUGAAUACGUUCCCGGGCCUUGUACACACCGCCCGUCAAGCCAUGAAAGCCGGGGGCGCUUGAAGUCCGUGACCGCAAGGAUCGGCCUAGAGCGAAACUGGUAAUUGGGGCUAAGUCGUAACAAGGUAAAUCACUGGCCGGUUGUG
rnacentral:rRNA from 1 species